rnacentral:rRNA from 1 species
CCCUGGAACUGCCUUUAAUACUGCUAGUCUUGAGUUCGAGAGAGGUAAGUGGAAUUCCGAGUGUAGAGGUGAAAUUCGUAGAUAUUCAGAGGAACACCAGUGGCGAAGGCGGCUUACUGGCUCGAUACUGACGAUGAGGUGCGAAAGUGUGGGGAGCAAACAGGAUUAGAUACCCUGGUAGUCCACACCGUAAACGAUGAAUGCCAGACGUCAGCAAGUAUACUUGAUGGUGUCACACCURACGGAUUAAGCAUUCCGMCUGAGGAGUACGGUCGCAAGAUUAAAACUCAAAGGAAUUGACGGGGGCCCGCACAAGCGGUGGAGCAUGUGGUAUAAUUCGAAGCAACGUGCAGAACCUUACCAACCCUUGACUAUCAUGUGCUACUACCAGAGAUGGUACGUUCCCUUCGGGGAGGCAGUGACAGGUGGUGCAUGGCUGUCGUCAGCUA